UGAUUAACCAGAAAUUGCAAAUGGUAAUUAUCUGUAUUUUUGAAAUUUAAAAUGGUUGGGUUUACCUCAUGCAAUUAAUUCAACAUUCAAAAUGAGAAUUUUAAGUUUUUCAAAAAUUGCAUGCUUUGCAUUUUUAAUUUUCAUUUGUAAUAGAGUUGGGAUUUGUUAACAUUUUUAGGCUGAUGAUUGUUUGCAGAAGAGGCCAUGUUUACCAUGUAAAUAAUUAAGCAUUGUUUGGCACUUAGAUAUUGAAAUAAGUCAGUAUAACUGAAGCAUUGUCAAUUAUGAAGUUUAAACUUUAUAAUUAUUGACAUGUUGUGAAGAAAUUGGGUUUGUUCUUCAAUGAAAUUGGAGGUUUUGAUUUUGAGAGACAUUAAUAUUGUUAUUCUAAAACAUGCUUGCUUGCUUUUUUGCAUAUUUCAAGUCUAUUCACUCUGUGAUAAAAUCUACUCUGCAUUACUAAUUCAUUGUAGUG
rnacentral:misc_RNA from 1 species